AAUUGUACUAAUGAAAACGCAAGAGCAUGAGGACAUAUGAGGAGCUGUUGGUGGCUUCGAGAGACUAGAAAUUUUUGACAAAGCCAUGGGGAGGGACUCUUAGCGGGUGGUGUGUGUGCUGUUUGAUGUGAAGCAAAACCACAACCAAGUCUGGUCCAAAAUGCAAGUCACUGACGUACGACGACGCCACGGCCGAGGCCAUACAAGAGAACAGGACAUGUAGAGUAGAACCGGUAGGUGGUCCUCGGGUUUUUUUUUGCCCCGCCGAAAUGGUCCGAAGACGAAAAUGUUUGUGAACCACUGAACCAAAGCAUAGCUUAGGGGAAAACUAUAAGAAAAUUCAUCAAAGAGACGGCUUCACCUACUCUGGGUGGCCGAGACCUGAUGUCGUUACGACAACGUGCGCCACUGCGGGCGAACCAUUUGAUCACUGUCAGGACAUAUUCCCUAUGACGUAUCAAGGCGUUAGUGGAGCACCUAGUGGAGACCGACAGAUAGGCUUUUUGAGUGUCGGAGAGGCGUCAGGCCACCGGCGGCAGGAAUGAGGGGAAUGGAGUACCCCAACAAAUCGUGGACGACUGUCUGUUGUGAAACAAAUGGCGGAUGGAGAGCGGACGUGACCGCCACCGAGAAAACAACCUACUUACUUUUUUUUUAAGAUUUAUCAGAUGAAGGAAAGCAUGAAGUGUCGGAAAAGAAGAAUAACCAAGACAGUUGGGUAUGACGUUUUGGAGAAAAACGUCCUUCUUUAAAUGUUCGAUAAUCUAGGUUAUGACGUCUACAGAUAGGGAUGUUGCUGGGCUCUUCACAAAAAAAAAGAAGAAAAAAGCGAAGAUUCAUUAUUCUUUUUAUCUAUUUCUUUUUUUUUUUGUAAAUACACAUUUUUUUAUUCUAAAAUAUUUUUUCCAAUGCCUUUCAAUAGGUAGAGUUGCAUAUAUUAUUUAUAGUUAUAACACUUUUGAUAACAUAAAUAAAUAUAACAAUUAGCACUGGGGAAUUCACGUUAUGUAAAACGAUUUUUUGUUUUUUGGAUAUUCUUGCAAUGACCUCCCCCCUCUUUGUGGCACAGCGGUAUGUUUGCGGACUUACAACGCUAGAAACCGGGUUUCGAUACUGGUGGUGGGCAGAGCACAGAUAGCCCAAUGUGAAGAGCUUUGCUUAAUUACAAACAAAUAAAUCUUGUAAUGCUACUCAAGAGCUAUCUGCGCUAGCUUUUCCUAAUUUUGAACUGUCUACUUUUGUGUCAUGGAAUAGUGAGAUUUGAUUGUCACCCUUAUAACACAACCACGGCCACAGAGAGCAGAGCACGAUUAUUAUUAUUAUUGUUAUUAUUGAUAUUUAUUAUUUUAUAAUGAGGUAACAAAACUCGAGCGAUGGGCCCGCAGAUCCACAACAACUAGGCCAUAUCCAGUUUUACAUAAAAACGAUCUCUGUGUUAUUAUGAUUACAACACCUGUUGAAAGAAAAAGUUUAUAUGUUUUAUAAUGAAAACCUUUCAUGGUUUUUAAAACACUUGUAUGUAAAAUUAAUGUUGAGAUAUUAAGGAAGUUUACAGAUUAUUGUAUCCAAUAAUAUAUCCACACUAUUCAAAGAUUUAUUUUAACAGGAAGCGUAAAAAACAAAAAUAACUCUAACCUUGGUAUACCAGCUGAUCUCUGAGAGCGUCAGUCCAUUAUUAAACAUUUUCUGUGCUACUCCAUUUAAUUAGCUGGGGACAAGCAUAUUGAUAAGUAUUUUGAAUGAUGUUUUUGGUUCGAAAUUGUCUUUUUUUACAUCCAGCAGAUUCACUUCAAUACGCAGGAUGAUUUAUUUGGCUGCACAUAUCUGUUCAUUAUAACAUAAUGAAUGCUUUAAAAGGUUCGUGGGUAAUAAAUAUCACCUCUUUCAAUUUGACUAGCGACGAAAUUUGGAGAAAAAACAACAACAUACUAUACAUAGGUGUAAGAGGGGAUAAUUCACGCCCUUGUGGGAUAUGGGCAGCACUAUGUAAUUCGCUGAGGAAGAUUUUAUGUGAAAAUCGUAAUGUUUGGUUCUGUUAAAUUGAUUUUAGUUGUCACAGUUCUUCAAACAUACAGGUUUCAACUGAUUUAUGAAACAAUAACAACAACAAUAAAACUGAGAAAAUUCCGGAGACCAUAAAGAGACAAGUCGUAGUUGAAAAUAAACGUUUUCAAAAUUGAUUGUUGUAAGGUUAAUGAAAAAAUUAAAUAAUUAAACAAAUCUUCGUACUUUGUGGACGAGAAUUGAGAAAAUUUACAAAUCAAAUGUAAACAAUAGUUGUAAUGCGUCAUUCAUAUAAAACUAUGUCGUAUAAAUAAGUAAAACUAUUUAUUUAAUUAACUUAAUAAAACACUAUCAAAUAUAUAUAUGUUGCCACACGAGGGCUGUCUGCACUCUGUCCACUGCGGGGAAUCGAACCACGGAAUUCAACGUUGUAACUUCGUAAGCUUCUUUUCUCUGCCUCUAUUAAUAAAUUUGUUUAUUAUGGCAAUCUAAAGCUAAAAUACAGAUAUUAUAAUUAUAAGAUAUGCAGCUGUUAUAACACUAUCAGCUGUGUACAUAGGAUCUAAGUAUGCCUGUUAUACAUAUACAAAUUAUUAAAAUAAUUUUUGUGUUUU